rnacentral:rRNA from 1 species
UACAGAGGGGGCAAGCGUUGUUCGGAAUUACUGGGCGUAAAGGGCGCGUAGGCGGCCUGCUAAGUCGAACGUGAAAUCCCCGGGCUCAACCCAGGAACUGCGUCCGAUACUGGCAGGCUUGAAUCCGGGAGAGGGAUGCGGAAUUCCAGGUGUAGCGGUGAAAUGCGUAGAUAUCUGGAGGAACACCGGUGGCGAAGGCGGCAUCCUGGACCGGCAUUGACGCUGAGGCGCGAAAGCCAGGGGAGCAAACGGG